UACAGAGGGCCCAAGCGUUGUUCGGAUUCAUUGGGCGUAAAGGGUGCGUAGGUGGCGGGGCAAGUCUGGUGUGAAAUCCCGGGGCUCAACCCCGGAACUGCACUGGAUACUGCUUUGCUAGAGUACUGGAGAGGGAACUGGAAUUUACGGUGUAGCAGUGAAAUGCGUAGAUAUCGUAAGGAAGACCAGUGGCGAAGGCGAGUUCCUGGACAGUUACUGACACUGAGGCACGAAGGCCAGGGGAGCAAACGGG
rnacentral:rRNA from 1 species